CCUACGGGUGGCAGCAGUGAGGAAUAUUGGUCAAUGGGCGUAAGCCUGAACCAGCCAAGUCGCGUGAGGGAUGAAGGUUCUGUGGAUCGUAAACCUCUUUUAUAAGGGAAUCAAGUGCGGGACGUGUCCCUUUUUGUAUGUACCUUAUGAAUAAGGAUCGGCUAACUCCGUGCCCGCAGCCGCGGUAAUAAGGAGGAUCCGAGCGUUAUACGGAUUUAUUUGGUUUAAAGGGUGCGUAGGCGGCCUUUUAAGUCAGCGGUGAAAGUCAUGGGACCAACCAGGGAAUUGCCUUUGAAACUGGGAGGAUUGAGUUUGUUUGAGGCAGGCGGAAUGCGUGGUGUAGCGGUGAAAUGCUUAGAUAUCACGCAGAACCCCGAUUGCGAAGGCAGCCGGCCAAGCCAUGACUGACGCUCAUGCACGAAAGCGUGGGUAUCGAACAGGAUUAGAUACCCUGGUAGUC
rnacentral:rRNA from 1 species